CCCUUAGAUGUCCUGGGCCGCACGCGCGCUACACUGACACGUUCAUCAAGUCUAUAACCUUGACCGAGAGGUCUGGGUAAUCUUUUAAAAACGUGUCGUGCUGGGGAUAGAUUAUUGCAAUUAUUAAUCUUCAACGAGGAGUUCCUAGUAAACGCAAGUCAUCAACUUGCAUUGAUUACGUCCCUGCCCUUUGUACACACCGCCCGUCGCUACUACCGAUUGAAUGAUUUAGUGAGUACCAGGGACCGAGCGCUUUGGUUGGGUUUCCUUCCCUAGCGCUUGGGAACUGUCGCAAACUUGACCAUUUAGAGGAAGUAAAAGUCGUAACA
rnacentral:rRNA from 1 species